CAAGAAGCCGAAAGGCUACUUAAAACCAUCGCGAACUUAUCCAAGUUGCUUCGGCGGCGCGGCUCCCCUCACGGGGACCGCAGCCCCCGCCUCUCAGGAGGUAAGGGGCAAGCCGCCGGAGGUACGAAACUCUGUAUUAUAGUGGUAUCUCUGAGUAUAAAACAAAUAAGUUA
rnacentral:misc_RNA from 1 species